GUAGGUGGCAAGCGUUGUCCGGAAUUAUUGGGCGUAAAGCGCGCGCAGGCGGUUCUUUAAGUCUGAUGUGAAAGCCCACGGCUCAACCGUGGAGAGUCAUUGGAAACUGGAGAACUUGAGUACAGAAGAGGAAAGCGGAAUUCCACGUGUAGCGGUGAAAUGCGUAGAGAUGUGGAGGAACACCAGUGGCGAAGGCGGCUUUCUGGUCUGUAACUGACGCUGAGGCGCGAAAGCGUGGGGGAGCAAACAGGAUUAGAUACCCUGGUAGUCCACGCCGUAAACGAUGAGUGCUAAGUGUUAGAGGGUUUCCGCCCCCCCCUUAGUGCUGCAGCUAACGCAUUAAGCACUCCGCCUGGGGAGUACGGCCGCAAGGCUG
rnacentral:rRNA from 1 species